GGUUUUAUGUCGGUUUAUGUAAAAUCUGGCCUGCUCAAUGUUAAAUGAAUGGCCGCAGUAUUUUGACUGUGCGAAGGUAGCAUAAUAAUUAGGCUAUUAAUUGUGGUCUUGUAUGAAUGGUUGGACUGGGAUGUACUUUCUUUUUUUUAAUGAUGAAUUUAAAUUAUUAGUGAAGAUGCUAAUAUGUAAUAAUUAGACGAGAAGACCCUAUUAAGUUUUUUAUUUAGUGUAUUUAUGAUAUUUUAUUGGGGCAAUAAUUAAUUAAUAUUAUACGUAUUGAUCCAUUAAUAAUGAUUAUUAGAACUAAUUACUAUAGGGAUAACAGCGUAAUUUUAUUGGAGAGUUCAUAUCGAUAAUAUAGUUUGCGACCUCGAUGUUGGAUUAGGAUAACCUGUAGGCGCAGAUGUUUAUCAAGGUAGACUGUUCGUCUAUUAAAUUCCUACA
rnacentral:rRNA from 1 species